rnacentral:rRNA from 1 species
UACGUAGGGUGCAAGCGUUAUUCGGAAUUACUGGGCGUAAAGGGUGCGUAGGCGGUUCGUUAAGUCUGUUGUGAAAUCCCCGAGCUCAACUUGGGAAUUGCAAUGGAUACUGGCAGGCUGGAGUAUGGUAGAGGAAGGUGGAAUUCCCGGUGUAGCAGUGAAAUGCGUAGAGAUCGGGAGGAACACCAGUGGCGAAGGCGGCCUUCUGGACCAAUACUGACGCUCAUGCACGAAAGCGUGGGGAGCAAACAGG